rnacentral:rRNA from 1 species
CACGUAGGGACCGAGCGUUGUCCGGAUUCAUUGGGCGUAAAGAGCUCGUAGGCGGUUGGGUAAGUCGGGUGUGAAAACUCCGGGCUCAACUCGGAGACGCCACCCGAUACUGCUCUGACUCGAGUCCGGUAGGGGAGUGGGGAAUUCCUGGUGUAGCGGUGAAAUGCGCAGAUAUCAGGAGGAACACCGGUGGCGAAGGCGCCACUCUGGGCCGGUACUGACGCUGAGGAGCGAAAGCGUGGGUAGCAAACAGG